rnacentral:lncRNA from 1 species
AAAUAAUGCUCCUCUAAAAUGGUCAUUGACCAAAGAAAAAUAAAAAGGUAAAUCUUAAGAUUUUUUGAAAUUGAAUGAUUAGGAAAACAUAGCAUACCAAAUUUGUGAGGUUCAGCUGAAGCAAGCCAAAAAAGUUAUUUACAGUUUUAAAUGUAUUAAAAAAGAAAAAUAAUUAUAAAACAAAAGCAAAUAGAUUCAAAGUAAAUAGAAGAUUCUUAUAAGGGCUAAACCAGCAUGAUAGAUAAAAAGGAGAACUAUGGAAGAUCAAUGAAAUAAAAAUUUAAAUCUUCAAAAAUAUCAAUGAAACUUACAAAUCUUUAUAUGCAUUAAGGGAAAAAAGAGAAUAUCAAAAAUAAAAUAAAAGACAUCACUAUAUAUCCUAAAAAUACUGAAUGUAAUUGAAUAUAUAUUGAAAGGGUAAUAAUUAAAUAUUAUAAAACACUUUGCUAAAAAAUUAAAUAACAUAGAUCAAAUAAAAAACUCCUUGAAGACAUAAUACAUAAAUAACACAAGAAGAAAAAAAUUAUAUGGCCAUCCCAUAUGUAUUUUAAAAGUUGACUUUGUAAUAAGAAAUUUCCCAUGAACAAAACUCCAGACCCAGAAGACUUCACUGGUUAAUACUGUCUAACAUUUAUAUAUAUAUAUUUCAUAAAUGCUUUCAGAAAAUUAAGGAGGAGGGAACAUUUUGCAAAUUAUUUUAUGAGACCAGAAGUGUCAUGAGUCCACAAAGAUUAUAAAACAAGAAAAAG